UUAAUACUCCAUCCAUUCGAAAAAGUUUGUCCCUAAAAUGGAUGUAUCUAGCACCAAGUUAGUGCUAGAUACAUCCAUUUGAGGAACAAGCUUGGAACAAGUUUUUUCGGACGGAGGGAGUGGAUA
rnacentral:pre_miRNA from 1 species